UACGUAGGGUGCGAGCGUUAAUCGGAAUUACUGGGCGUAAAGCGUGCGCAGGCGGUUCGUUGUGUCGGCGGUGAAAGCCCCGGGCUUAACCUGGGAAUGGCCGUCGAAACUGGCGAACUGGAGUGUGGCAGAGGGGGUGGAAUUCCGCGUGUAGCAGUGAAAUGCGCAGAUAUCAGGAGGAACACCGGUGGCGAAGGCGGGUCUCUGGGCCGAUACUGACGCUGAGGAGCGAAAGCGUGGGGAGCGAACAGG
rnacentral:rRNA from 1 species